GAUGAACGCUGGCGGCGUGCCUAAUACAUGCAAGUCGAGCGAAUGAUGAGGAGCUUGCUCCUCUGAUUUAGCGGCGGACGGGUGAGUAACACGGGGGUAAUCUGCCUGUAAGACGGGGAUAACUCCGGGAAACCGGGGCUAAUACCGGAUAACAAGAGAAGAAGAAGUUCUUCUUUUUGAAAGUCUGUUUUGGCUGACACUUACAGAUGAGCCAGCGGCGCAUUAGCUAGUUGGUGAGGUAACGGCUCACCAAGGCGACGAUGCGUAUCCGACCUGAGAGGGUGAUCGGCCACACUGGGACUGAGACACGGCCCAGGCUCCUACGGGAGGCAGCAGUAGGGAAUCUUCGGCACUGGGCGAAAGCCUGACCGAGCAACGCCGCGUGAGCGAUGAAGGCCUUCGGGUCGUAAAGCUCUGUUGUUAGAGAAGAACAAGUACGAGAGUAACUGCUCGUACCUUGACGGUACCUAACCAGAAAGCCACGGCUAACUACGUGCCAGCAGCCGCCGUAA
rnacentral:rRNA from 1 species